GAUGAACGCUAGCGGCAGGCUUAACACAUGCAAGUCGAGGGGUAUAUGCUUUCGGGCAUAGAGACCGGCGCACGGGUGCGUAACGCGUAUGCAAUCUGCCUUUCACAGAGGGAUAGCCCAGAGAAAUUUGGAUUAAUACCUCAUAGCAUAGCACAAUCGCAUGCUUGAGCUAUUAAAGUCACAACGGUGAAAGAUGAGCAUGCGUCCCAUUAGCUAGUGGGUAAGGUAACGGCUUACCAAGGCUACGAUGGGUAGGGGUCCUGAGAGGGAGAUCCCCCACACUGGUACUGAGACACGGACCAGACUCCUACGGGAGGCAGCAGUGAGGAAUAUUGGUCAAUGGGCGCAAGCCUGAACCAGCCAUGCCGCGUGCAGGAUGACGGUCCUAUGGAUUGUAAACUGCUUUUGUACGGGAAGAAACACUCCUACGUGUAGGAGCUUGACGGUACCGUAAGAAUAAGGAUCGGCUAACUCCGUGCCAGCCGCCGCCGUAAUAC
rnacentral:rRNA from 1 species